CAGGCGUUUGCGGUUCGUCUGUAAACGCAAACACCUGUAUCCAGUCAAGCUAUGAUGGUUAUCCUCUCUUUGCCUGUCAUUCCCUUCGGUUCCUUGAAGGGGCUGCCAGGAUGUUCUAAGCUGUGAGUUGAUUUAUAAGGUGAAGGAUCUCUCCGAAACUUUGGCAUGGACGGGGAAAUUGACUAAACGCACCUCUCCUCCAGGGGGUGACGCGGCCUUUUGACAAUGCCUCACCCUUUAAGAAGUGACAUGUCUAAUUUGGAUCUGGGAUUGGUGGAAGAAUUCAGGUGUCCAGCUAAUAAUAAUAUAACGCAUAAAGAAAAAAAUCCAACAGUGGUUUUAGCCAAGGACUUCAGUCCAACUCACACACAUAAUGCCCCCUGGAGGAGUCCCAGGUUCCCCUCGAAAGCCCAGCUGACUCUCUGGGAAAUCCCGAGACCAGCCCAUGAAGAUUUGCAAUGCGGGUAAGGGAGCAUACCAGGGUGGGCACCUCGAUUCUUAGAUCCACGGGUGCCACCGUUGCCUGCUCCUGGGGGCUCAGCCGAGGAUGUAAUUGUUCCCAUCAAAGUGGAAUUCACAGUUGCUGCACACCAGCCCCUCAUACUGAGAGCGAAACUCCAGUCACCUGGGGGGGUUACAUCCACAGCUGCAGGAAGCAGUCGACAACUCUCCCCAGAACCAGGCUCCUUAAGAAUUGACCUUUGAGACUGUGUGCUCAGUAGUGUCCCAGCUUU
ensembl:lncRNA